AGCAGCCGCCGCGGUAAUACGAAGGGGGCUAGCGUUGUUCGGAAUUACUGGGCGUAAAGCGCACGUAGGCGGACAUUUAAGUCAGGGGUGAAAUCCCGGGGCUCAACCCCGGAACUGCCUUUGAUACUGGGUGUCUAGAGUAUGGAAGAGGUGAGUGGAAUUCCGAGUGUAGAGGUGAAAUUCGUAGAUAUUCGGAGGAACACCAGUGGCGAAGGCGGCUCACUGGUCCAUUACUGACGCUGAGGUGCGAAAGCGUGGGGAGCAAACAGGAUUAGAUACCCCCGUAGUCCCUGUCUCUUAUAC
rnacentral:rRNA from 1 species